rnacentral:lncRNA from 1 species
AUGUCAAGUGAUGUUUCUUCUCCAGCCACCGAGCAGGAGAGAAGCAAUCGGUUUGAGGGAACCCGCCUGGUCGUGUUUCGCGGGACCAGGGGAAGUCGCCGAGGAGGGAGUGGGCGAGAGGAGACUCAGCAUUGCUCUCCACCAUGGCCCCCCUUCGACUCGGGGCUCAUGUGGGAGCGACCAGAGCUGCCGUCUUUCCAUGGCGGAUGGAGAAAGCCAGCGCCACGACCCAUGAUGGCCGCCGGUCCAGUGCCACUGCACAAGAUGGCCGCCAGCCCAGCGCCACGAGGCAAGAUGGAAGCCAGCCCCGCACCACAUCACAAGAUGGCCACCAGCUCAGCAGCACGAGGCAACAUGGCUGCCAACCCAGCACCACGAAGCAAGAUGGCCGCCAGCCCAGCACCACGAGGCAAUAUGGACGCCAGCACAAUGCCACAGCACAAGGUGGUCACCAAUCCAGUGCCACGAUGCAGGAUGGCCGCCUGCUCAGCGCCAACGCCCAAGAUGGCCGCUGACUCAUUCUUGGAGUAUUUCUCCAUGCUGUCAAGGAUCCUAGAAAUUCCCAAGACUGUUCACGUCACGGCUGCUGAGCCAGCGUCACAACCCAAGAUGGCCGCCAAUCCAGCACCACAGCACAAGAUGGCUGCCGGUCCAGUGCCACAGUGCAAGAUGGCCACUCACCCAGCACCAAUGCCCAAGUUGGCCACCAGUCCAGAGUCAUGGCCCAAGAUGGCUGCUUGCCCAACGCCGCUGCACAGGAUGACAGUCACAGCUGACCCUCUGGAGUCGAGUCAGGUUCCAGUUGACUCUCCAGAGUCAAGUCAGGUUCCAGUGAACCCUCCAGAGUCGAGUCAGGUUCCAGUGAACCCUCCAGAGUCGAGUCAGGUUCCAGUGAACCCUCCAGAGUCGAGUCAGGUUCCAGUGAACUCUCCAGAGUCGAGUCAGGUUCCAGUGUACUCUCCAGAGUCGAGUCAGUUUCCAGUGAACUCUCCAGAGUCGAGUCAGGUUCCUGUUGACCCCCCAGAGUCGAGUCAGGUAUUCGUGGACCCUUCAGAGUCAGGGCUAGUCACCGAUGACCUUCCAGAGUCAGGGCUAGUCACCGAUGACCCUCCAGAUUCAGGGCUAGUCACCGAUGACCUUCCAGAGCCAGGGCUAGGUACCAUGGACUUUCCAGAGACAAGGCUGGUCACCGUUGACCUUUCAGAGUCAAGUCAAGUCACUGGUGAUCUUCAAGGACUGUGUCAAGUCAAGGGUGAUCUUCUAGUACUGAGUCAAGUCACGGGUGAUCUUCUAGGACUGAGUCAAGUCACUGGUGAUCUUCAUGAACAAUGGCAAGUCACCAUUGAUCUUCAUGAGCAAAUACAAGUCACCAAUGAUCUUCGGGUGAUCUUCUAG